AGGGAUCUAAGUUAACUUUCCGAUAGAUGGGGAUAAUGGUUUCCCCACUUGAUGGCUUCCUUAUUUUGCCGCUAGGUGGUAUCAAACGUAAGUCAGUAUGUGACCAGCAGAGUUCAUGGCGUACGUGCCACGACCCAUGAGGGAAAGAAUGCUUGAUAGAGAACACGAACCAACGGAAGCCCGAUUUUGAAGUUGGGAUUAAUACCCGUUAAUCUUCCUUUGAAAGCUACUCUUUAAUGACAGCUUGAAUAAAAUGUUAAACAUCAUUCUUCCAUGCCAUAUUGUUUGCAAUUAUAAUCAAUAUCGAACAAUCUUGAAUCAAUUGGAUCUAACAUUUGAAAGGUACAAGAAGUCUAUACCAAUGGGAAUUGGUGACAGUUUCACUAAUAAAGGGUUUUCCGCAUCACACCCUAAAGUUAAUUUGGGAAAGUAAUCAUAUGGCUGUGUUAUAUAUUCUGCUAAUUGGUUUUCCCUAUAGAAAUUUAAUUGUUAUGUUUUGUACAACAUUUUCCCUCCAGAACAAAUUUGCUGCAGGAUAAGCAAUUAUAUUCAUGCAGUUCUAGUAAAGAAAUACUAAUCAAUAUUUUUAUACCAAUAAAACAUGGUAUAUCAUGAGGUAAAAAACUGGGAAAAUAAUUUAGUGAAAUUUAUUGCACGUGUAUGAGAAAGUCUGUAAUAUAAGAUAAACUAUUACCUUGCUGGACAACUGAUACAGAAAAAUCUGCAUUAAAACAAAUCAGAGAAAAGUUUAAUGUACCAAUUAAGUUCCGGGACUUAUGAGAAUAUACUUACUGAAGCAAAGUUGAACAACAUACGCGUAAUAACUCCAUACUAUGACAGUAACUAUAAAAACAACCGGAAUCCAUUUUAGGGCACUACCACACGCCACACAACUAUUGACGAACUUGUUAACUCCAGCCAUUUUUUGCGAAUUCUAAUACUAAUACAAAUACUUAUAGAUGAAAAACGUGAUGAAGAUGGACACAUUGAUAUCAAUAUUUUCCAGUUAAUGAAUACAAACAGAAAACUGACAGUUCAUUUUACUGCUCCCCUAAGUCUCUUUGAUAUCAAUAUUUUCCAGUUAAUGAAUACAAACAGAAAACUGACAGUUCAUUUUAGUGCUCCCCUAAGUCUCUAACACUAGUCCCAAUAAUACCUGAAUGAAAGCGGCAUAGUUGCCAGAUGACAAAAUCAAAGGAAAUUCGCCCGAUGAACACAAAAUUUCAUUAGGUAGUCUGCGUUCUACGAGUUCACACCUGUGUCUGUGCUCUGUGUCCACUGUCUGGUAAGGAAGAUUAUCUCAAGAUCUAAGACCUUCGACUGAUGAAAAGAAUUAAAAUGAUCGUUAACCUGUUAGAAACUUUUAAAAUCAUGAUGAAGUUGUGAUUUUCGAAGGAAAGGCUGGUUGUAGCGAGCGAUGUGUAGGAUUCAGGACGAUUAUGAAUAACAGUCCUAACCUGCUUCAUGGAUACUUUUUCUUCUGAACACGUGGUGUGAAAUAUUUUUUCGGCGCGCUCCGUGGUGUGGUCACAGUUGUCUUUUUUAAGUUUCUUUCGUUUAUUACCAAGCUUUGUAACGGCAAUUAGAGUAUUCAAAAUCGAAAGUGAAAAUUGUCAAAAGAUUGCAAAUUUCCCAUUAUUAAAGACCUAGCUCUUUAAUGGAGAUGUCUUUCAUGAUAAACGUCUGCACUUUUCCAGUCACAGUGAGGGGAAAUUUGUCUUUAAACACCCAGUAUCGAGGAAUUUUGAAAACAAAAAUUCUUCAGUUCAAGAGGAUCUACAGUAGCCUGGGACUUAAUUCGAACCCAAGCACAAAUUUCUUCACCUAGUCUUUCAUCAGGCACCCCUAUAACCUAACUCAUAAAUAAACAUGUGCAAGCAGAGGAAUACCAACCUUUCGUGAUGGAUUGCUUUGAUUGCCUCCUUUGCGCUGAAGACAGAACUUGGAAAAACGCAGGUUGCUCCAUGUGAAGCUGCGGUUAAUACGCCAACCACACAUCCAGCGCAAUGGUACAGUGGAACAGGGACACAAAUCGUUUGGAGCUGUAAUCAACAUCACCUUGUUCCAGUUAAUUAGUUUAUCUGAUGCCUAACUAUGGAGGAAACGAAAUUUAUUUGCGAUCAAAGAAGAAACAAGGACGCAUUGCAUCGUGGAUCAAAAGAUGUAUCAGAAGUGAAAUAAAAGAACAGGCAAUGUGAGAAUACCGAACUAUAGAUUUUAUUGGUUCGGAAGGGGGUGAAUAGGGUAAGAGAUUGAAGCAAAAAUUAUUCCUUUCCAUGCUAAAUAAUUCAAUGUAGAUAUAUAUAUAUUUGUUAGAUUUCGUCAUUUUGUGUUAGAAGUCGCUUGGAACGAUUCAAUGUGACCAUAUGACAAGCUACAAAUUCUUUGCACCCUUUAGAAGAUCCGCUCUUUAUGUUUUAAGAUCUAAUUCUUUUACAGAAAGCUCUCUCAUAACGAAUUUUUGUACUUUUCCGGUCACCGUGAGGGGAAAUUCCUUUUUAAACAUCCAAUAUCUAGGAACUUUAAAAUAGGCCAUCUGUCAUUUUCAAUACAAACAAGUUCUACAACUCGAUAGCAUCGGCAGUAGUCUGAGACUUGCAACGGAUCCAAACACAGAUUUCCUCACCCAGUCUUUCAUCAGGAACUCCUACAACCUAUUUCAUAAAUUCAAAAUUUCAAUGUUUAUUUAAGAUUUCACCUGGAGUGUUGAUAGGUAGGAUUUCAUUGGUCGCAGGAUCGACGACUUUUACCUUCAAAUUCAACCGUUAUCUAUGAAGCAAGUUGGAUGUAAAAAAAGCACGUUACCUCAACGUGUUCGCAAGGAUAGCCAACAGUGGAGCACCGUACCUCAAAACUGUCUGUCGGUAACGUAACAAACGUACCUGGGCUGCAUUCCGUCAUUCCGUACAAAAUCUUUGUAGGAAAUUUAAGCAAUUAAUCAUUAUCUACGACCAAUAGAUCCAUAAUACCUGUGGACAGGCUUUUCAGGUCGUAUUGUUUCAAAUCCGGCAAGCUUAGGAUGUCGACAAACAUGGUCGGAGUUCCGUACAGAGAUGUGCAUCUUCAAUGAAAUACGCUGAAGACAGGACUGGGAAAAACACAAGUAGCCCCAUGUGAAGCAGCAGCCAGCACCCCGAGACCGCAUCCAAAACAGUGAUAGAGUGGAACAGGAACACAGAUGGUGUGCGGCUGACCAAGGAAACCACGGUUGAAAACU